UAGGAGCAGGUGUCUGAUAAUGGACAGGCUGAAUGUCAAGGGAAAGAGGUGCUGGUAUUAAAAAGUUUUUCGACCGUGCUCUUUACGUUGAUUGGUGGCUGCUCGUUUCCCAGUUUCCUUUUGACAACUAAGAAGACAGCUUUGUUCAUUUUUGAGUUGAAGAGUAAACGCAGUUACUUUUUUAAAUCUAAAGUUCUGGAGAGUUCUGGAAAGUUCUAGAGAGUUCUGGAAAGUUCUUGGACACACCCACGGCUGCAAUCAAAGAAAAACUCUUUGAUUGAACAAAAGUAGAUCGACUCCACAAGCGGAGGAACACAAGCAGCGGAGACAGUGGACGGAGCUUCUGCGGUCUGUCAUUUCAUCAUUCUUGUCAUCUCUGCAUUCGCAUUCGAAGGCUUCGUCACAUCGUCACAGCCGUCCUAUCAGUUCCACAACUGGAAAACCUUCCAUCAGCUCCGCAGAAAGCUGUCCCUAACAACCUCGUCCAAAUCACACCCUCAGCUCACCUGACUGGCCAGCAUCAGGUCCCCUUGUCCUCUCUAGACGCCACGGUCUUUUGCAGUUUUACCACACAUUGUACCCAUAAAAUGAUUAAUUCAGUGUUUCAUUUUGAUGAUUAAGAAGACAUUUUUGUUAAUUUCUGAGUUGAAGAAUAAACACAGUUACUUUUUGAAAUCGACAGUUCUGGAAAAUUCUUGGACACUGCUGCUGAAAAAGGCCCUAAACCUAGAUGACACAGGAACUCAGGGCUUCAAGGUCAGGAGUGGGAUCCAGGAGGAUGGACAGGAGUGAGAUGGUGGUACUUAAAGGCACCACAGAGCCCUGUUUACUUCUUUGUAAAAAUGCAUUAAGAGAGUC